UCCAGCGCAGACUCUUUGGCUUCUGGCGUAGAUUCUUCAGCCUUUUGUCGCAGACCCGUGAGCCUCCUGACACAGACUCGCACAGGACACUGCAGUGAGCUCCAGGCCUUGGGCUGAAACCUUCGGUCUCUGGUGUGCAGAUGCCCUCUGCAUGCUUCUUCAUCCAACUCUGUGGCUGACCACCCAAAGCCAGUCUUGUCGUUUCUUAUACAUUUGUAUGUCUUGUGUACAUCUGUUGCUCUAGGAAAACACUGACUGAUACUCUCAAUAAAUGUGUAUUUUUAAAAAGGCACUGAGGACUGAGAAAAUGGCAGCGUGAGAACCAGCCACAUACCAAAACCUCUUCAGGACCUGGAAUCCAGAUACCUGGAAAACAACAACUUAGUGAAAAGAGAAGGAAAGCAGCUCCUGGAAUCACAAAAGAGCUGCAGGGAAAACUAGAAAUCACAGAGCAACUGGAGAAACUGAAUAGAAGGCAGGCAAAGAACAAAGCCAUCUAGAAUGCUAACCGCAGCUCGCGGGAGGGGGCCUGUGCCCCCAAACCCAAAGCGAGCCUGGAGAGGGUUGGCAGAGCCAGGGAGAAGCAACAGGCCAGCAGUUCUAGUUCCAAGAAAAGCCCACAGUUAUUGCAAACUGCAAAUACAGUGUAGGAUUUUACUCUGAAAAUGACUCUUCUGCACGGCCGGCUAGAGUUGGGGAAGAAAUCCAUUGCAGCACUCACCACACUGGAAUGUGACGUCAUCAGGUGCCGUUCUGUGGUGCAGGUCAAACCAAGGGCCUUGAACAUGCCAGGCAAGUGCUCUACCAGCGAGCUACAUCUCCAGCACUCACCACCUCACUUUGUGUUUUUGAGAGAAGGUCUGGCAAUGUCAUCCAGCCUAUCCUUGAACAUCAAAUGAUGCUCCCGCCUUAGGCUUCCAAGCUAAUAAGCCCCUUGUAAAGCGAGAGGAAUUCAAAAAUACUUGGAACACUAAGGAUCUGGCGCCAUGCGACUUCCGGCUCUGCCCCAAAGUCAAAAUGACCAUGGAAGAUAAACGUUUUGAAUCAAUUCAGAAUAUUAAGGCAGCCACAACAGCACAGCUAAAGACACUUAAGAGAAAGGACUUCCAGAACUGCUUCAGAAAGUGUCAAGAAUGAUGGGCUGAUUGUGUUCAAAGUAAGACGCAGUACUUUGAGGGGGUUAAUGGUAAUGUGACUUUUACUGUAAUAAAAUUUGGCAGGGA